UAGGGAGACCUAAUCCAUUUAGAAAUCGAAAACAAUGAAAAUUGUCAAUAGAAACUAAAUUGGUCUAACCUAGGUCGUUCGAGAUUGGUAGACAUCUUUCAAAGUAUUAUUCGGCUUCGUUCAAAACCAUAUAUAAUAAAUGGAAAAAGACAGCACCUAAUUGUCAAAGUUAGACUGCUGGAUGAAGUUCCAGCCAGAACCUUGAAAACUGCAUAAGAGAACAAGAAAAAGCAGGCAGACACAGACAUUUAGAUGGAUGUGGAAGCAAAAGAAAUUGU
rnacentral:misc_RNA from 1 species